rnacentral:lncRNA from 1 species
UAAGAAGACACCAAAGAGUGCUAAUUGUUGAAUAAAAAACAAGGACCUUGGUAUGUUUUCUAACAAUUGUUUUAUUUAUUUAUUUUUUAUUGUGGUAUAAUAAAUGUAAUAUAAAAUUUGCUAUUUUAUUUUAAAGUAUAGGUGCAGUAGCAUUCAGUACAUUCACUGCUUUUUGUUUGUUUGUUUUUUUUUUUUUUUAAUGGCUGCAGCAGGUUAUCAAAAAGACAGUGCAGGCAGGCAAAACGUAUGUCCAACAUACACGUAUGUUAAAAACAUCCGCCAUUAUUGUGGCCUCCCUCCACAACUGUGGUCUUAUUUAAAGCAACAACAGCAACACAAAGCCAGACCUUGGAGUGCCACACCCAAGUGUGGGUUUGGGAGCUGAGAAGGGAACAAGCUGAAAGGAAGCCGCAAGAGCUGUGGAGACCAGCCGGGACCCUCAUGUGAACCUCCCAAGGACUUGGUUGUGACUUAAUUUUCUUCAGAAGCAACACCAGCAGAGCUGUUGAUGGAAUCAGUUGUGGCAUCAG